rnacentral:rRNA from 1 species
AGUCGAACGAGAUCUUCGGAUCUAGUGGCGCACGGGUGCGUAACGCGUAUGCAACUUACCUCUUACUGGGGAAUAACUUUCCGAAAGGAGGGCUAAUACCGCAUAAAAGACAGUGAGGCAUCUCACAAUCUUAAAAGGUUACGGUAGGAGAUGGGCAUGCGUCCCAUUAGCUAGUUGGUAAGGUAACGGCUUACCAAGGCGACGAUGGGUAGGGGAACUGAGAGGUCGAUCCCCCACACUGGUACUGAGAUACGGACCAGACUCCUACGGGAGGCAGCAGUAAGGAAUAUUGGUCAAUGGACGAGAGUCUGAACCAGCCAUGCCGCGUGCAGGAAGAAGGCGUUCCGCGUCGUAAACUGUUUUUAUAUAGGAAGAAAAAGUUUCUACGGAAAUCAUUGACGGUACUAUAUGAAUAAGCACCGGCUAACUACGUGCCAGCAGCCGCGGUAAUACGUAGGGUGCAAGCGUUGUCCGGAUUUAUUGGGUUUAAAGGGUGCGUAGGCGGAUUAUUAAGUCUUGGGUGAAAUCCUACCGCUUAACGGUAGAACUGCCUGAGAAACUGGUAAUCUUGAGUAUAGUUGAGGUAGCUGGAAUUGGUGGUGUAGCGGUGAAAUGCAUAGAUACCACCAGGAACCCCUAUUGCGAAGGCAAGUUACUAAGCUAUAACUGACGCUGAUGCACGAAAGCGUGGGGAGCGAACAGGAUUAGAUACCCUGGUAGUC